GAUGAACGCUGGCGGCGUGCCUCAAACAUGCAAGUCGAGCGGGGCUAUGUAAUAUCGCAAGGUAGAACAUAGCCUAGCGGCGAACGGGUGAGUAACACGUGGGUAACCUGCCUGGAAGACAGGGAUAACGAUUCGAAAGGGUCGCUAAUACCUGAUAAUAUCCUUUCAUCGCAUGGUGAUAGGAAGAAAGGGGAAACCCGCUUUCAGAUGGGCCCGCGUCCCAUCAGCUAGUUGGUAAGGUAAAGGCUUACCAAGGCGACGACGGGUAGCCGGUCUGAGAGGAUGUACGGCCACACUGGGACUGAGAUACGGCCCAGACUCCUACGGGAGGCAGCAGUUGGGAAUCUUAGGCAAUGGACGAAAGUCUGACCUAGCGACGCCGCGUGAGGGAAGAAGGCCUUCGGGUUGUAAACCUCUGUCAGUGGGGGAAGAAGUAAGUGACGGUACCCAAGAGGAAGCCCCUGCUAACUACGUG
rnacentral:rRNA from 1 species